rnacentral:rRNA from 1 species
AUUGAACGCUGGCGGCAGGCCUAACACAUGCAAGUCGAGCGGAUGAAGGGAGCUUGCUCCUGGAUUCAGCGGCGGACGGGUGAGUAAUGCCUAGGAAUCUGCCUGGUAGUGGGGGAUAACGUCCGGAAACGGGCGCUAAUACCGCAUACGUCCUGAGGGAGAAAGUGGGGGAUCUUCGGACCUCACGCUAUCAGAUGAGCCUAGGUCGGAUUAGCUAGUUGGUGGGGUAAAGGCCUACCAAGGCGACGAUCCGUAACUGGUCUGAGAGGAUGAUCAGUCACACUGGAGCUGAGACACGGUCCAGACUCCUAAGGGAGGCAGCAGUGGGGAAUGUGGGACAAUGGGCGAAAGCCUGAUCCAGCCAUGCGGCGUGUGGGAAGAAGGUCUUGGGAUUGUAAAGCACUUUAAGUUGGGAGAAAGGGAAGUAAGUUAAUACCUUGCGGUUUUGACGUUACCAACAGAAUAAGCACCGGCUAACUUCGUG